AGUGAACGCUGGCGGUAGGCCUAACACAUGCAAGUCGAACGGCAGCACAGUAAGAGCUUGCUCUUACGGGUGGCGAGUGGAGGACGGGUGAGGAAUACAUCGGAAUCUACUUUUUCGUGGGGGAUAACGUAGGGAAACUUACGCUAAUACCGCAUACGACCUACGGGUGAAAGCAGGGGAUCUUCGGACCUUGCGCGAUUGAAUGAGCCGAUGUCGGAUUAGCUAGUUGGCGGGGUAAGGGCCCACCAAGGCGACGAUCCGUAGCUGGUAUGAGAUGAUGAUCAGCCACACUGGAACUGAGACACGGUCCAGACUCCUACGGGAGGCAGCAGUGGGGAAUAUUGGACAAUGAGCGCAAGCCUGAUCCAGCCAUACCGCGUAGGUGAAGAAGGCCUUCGGGUUGUUAAGCCCUUUUGUUGGGAAAGAAAAGCAGCAGGUUAAUACCCCGCUGUUCUGACGGUACCCAAAGAAUAAGCACCGGCUAACUUCGUG
rnacentral:rRNA from 1 species